rnacentral:rRNA from 1 species
GACGUAGGGCGCGAGCGUUGUCCGGAUUUAUUGGGCGUAAAGGGCUCGUAGGCGGUCUGUUGCGUCGGGUGUGAAAACUUACAGCUUAACUGUGAGCGUGCUCCCGAUACGGGCAGACUUGAGGUAUUCAGGGGAGAACGGAAUUCCUGGUGUAGCGGUGAAAUGCGCAGAUAUCAGGAGGAACACCGGUGGCGAAGGCGGUUCUCUGGGAAUAUCCUGACGCUGAGGAGCGAAAGUGUGGGGAGCGAACAGG